rnacentral:rRNA from 1 species
AUGCUGCCGGGAAGCUCCCGCCUCCCCGCCGGCGCCUCUGCGCUGGAGGCGCCCGAGGGCCGCCCGGCCUUCGUUAGCGUGCACAAGCGCAUCGACCACCCCGUCCCCGCGUCUGCGGUCCGCCGCUGGGCUCCCGAUCCCCCGGUGGUUCGCUCCGGCCGUCCGGAGUGCGGGCCCACCGUGUACCUGCAGACGACCCCCGAGAUGAGCCGCGUGGCCAGGUGCACCGGCUACGCCUUCAUCACCCCCGACCCGGCUGGCCGCGAGGUCGCGGACCUCAAGGCCCUCGUCCGCUCCGCCAUCCACGCCGCGGCGCCGGACCUGUAGCAGCCGUUCGAGCUCGACGGCUACUCGGUGCAGGUCGUGCCCGAGGGGCAGCAGAGGAACUACUACCGGUCCCGGCUGGACUACCUCGUCCACAUCAACCUGCACAGCUACCCCACGGAGGAGCGGGCGGAGAAGGACAUCAGCGCCAACAUGGCCAGCAUCGGCCACGUGGUCGAGAUCGACCCCGCCUGCCUCACCGCGCCGGACCUCUCCCCGCUCCGCCUCGUCGUCCGGGUGGAGCACCCUCGCGAAAUCGCUCGCGAGCUCCGGAUCCGGUACGUUGGUUUUUAUGGCAGCGGCGAAGCCUGUCCCAGGGAAGUCGCUCGCAGCAUCAUACCCAUCGAGAUCGUCAAGGCUGAGAUCUGGUUAGGACACUGGGGGUUAUGUGCUCUGACUGGUGGGGUCCACCUAUGGCCACGUAGUCAAGAGUCAACCGUCCAUGACUCGACCGGUGACUGUGUGACCGUGCUCGACUCGCCCGUGCUGGACUGGGCGAGCGGCGCCGCCGUAAGCAUCUUCUCCGGCAGUGGUUUCUUCUCCGCGGUGGUGGAGCGCAUUUCUCGGCAGCGGCAGAGCUAUUGCGAGGAGAUGGAGCGAGGGCUAGAUGAGAUGGAGCGAGGAGACGGGCUGCCCCGAGGAGACAGUGCUUCAAAUCGGGGAGGUUCAGGUUCUGCCACCACAUUCGCAAUUAUAGUGGAAUUUUUUCCCUGUAAAGCCAAGCUCAGUGAUGGCAGUGUCCAAGACAUUGAUAGAGAUACCACCGUGAGGUUGGAUGUCGAUUUUGCAGAUGUUGAUCCCCAGGAAUUGGAGAUCAUGAAGGAGAAGGCCGUGGGCAAUUUGGUGGAGAGAAUUGGGGAGAGUAUUGUUUGGGGUCCAGAACAAGAGGUAUCUCUGCAACGUUUCGAUAACUAUAAUGGUGAAUAUGUGAGAAUUGAAGAUGGAGAAUCCAUGGUUGCUGAAAUUGAUCAGCAAGGAGGAUGGGCAAGCAAACAAGUAACAUUUUAUGCAGAACUAAUUGAUCUGCAAACUCAUUCCAGAGUUGGUUAUGUGCCAUCAAAGAUGGCUGCACAGAUGGAAGAUGAUGAGUGGGUUUCACAAAAGAAGAUGUUGGCAUUGUUGACUGAACCGACUAUAGUAGCUGAAGAUACUGGGAUUGAUGCAGAUGGAGAGGAGGGAACCCAUGGUGCUAGGAAGAUUGUUGUUGACUGGAAUGUAGUAGAGUUGAAUGAAAAAACAGAUUUGGUCAUUACACCAAUAUCUGACAUUGAUAUGGCCGAAAUGUUUGGCAUUCAAGUUGAUGACAAAGAUAAGGAGAAGGAUGACAGUUCUUUGCCAGCUGAAGGUAACACAGGCCCUAGAAAUGCAAAUGAGGAUGAAGAACACCUGAUGAGAGAGGCUGCAGAUGAUGUGGAUGAUGCAGAUGAUAAUGAGCUGGUUUGUUUGUAUGACAAAGAGAACCCAGUUAUUGAGGUGGGAAAGUUGUGGCCAAGCAUGAAGGAGUUUAGGAUGUCUUUCAGGACCUAUGCAGUGAAAAAAGAGUUUGAUGCCAAGACUAUGUGGACUGAUCGAAAAAAAAUUUAUGCUCGGUGCAAAGGUUAUGAUGGUGGUGGCAAUCCUUGCAAAUGGUACUUGUCUGCCAGACUACAACCUGAUGGAAGUACAACGUUAGGGCAAUCUGAAACUGUUGCAGAUGAAGCAACUGUUGUGCUGCCAUUCGAAUCUGCUUUGACAACUGUGUUGCCAUGUUUGGAGGUUGUGCUGCCAAGUGUUGAGUUGCAAACUGAAGUAGUUGAACAAUGUGUGCCAUCUACUCAAUCUGCAGAAGUGCAAACUGAAGAAGUGAGACAUGGUCAGGUGCAAAAAUUGAGGGGGCCAAAAAGCAAGAGCAUCAGCAUCAACAAACUAUGCGCCGUGGAACCAAACGGUGGAAAAAAGCAGAAGAAAUCGAGUGGUAGAAAGAAGCAGAAGAAAUAG